UACGUAGGGGGCAAGCGUUAUCCAGAUUUACUGGGCGUAAAGCGCGUGUAGGCGGCUGGUUAGGUGUGAUGUGAAAUCUUCCGGCUCAACCGGAAAACUGCAUUGCAAACCGGCCUGGCUAGAGUGCAGGAGAGGGAAGCGGAAUUCCAGGUGUAGCGGUGAAAUGCGCAGAUAUCAGGAAGAACACCCGUGGCUAAGGCGGCUCUCUAGUACGGUACUGACGCUGAGACGCGAAAGCGUGGGGAGCGAACAGG
rnacentral:rRNA from 1 species